rnacentral:rRNA from 1 species
UUGACCUCGGAUCAGGUAGGGAUACCCGCUGAACUUAAGCAUAUCAAUAAGCGGAGGAAAAGAAACCAACCGGGAUUGCCUCAGUAACGGCGAGUGAAGCGGCAAGAGCUCAAAUUUGAAAUCUGGCCCCUCCGGGGUCCGAGUUGUAAUUUGCAGAGGAUGCUUCGGGUGCGGCCCCUGUCUAAGUGCCCUGGAACGGGCCGUCAGAGAGGGUGAGAAUCCCGUCUUGGGCAGGGUGCCCGUGCCCGUGUGAAGCUCCUUCGACGAGUCGAGUUGUUUGGGAAUGCAGCUCUAAAUGGGUGGUAAAUUUCAUCUAAAGCUAAAUACCGGCCGGAGACCGAUAGCGCACAAGUAGAGUGAUCGAAAGAUGAAAAGCACUUUGAAAAGAGAGUUAAACAGCACGUGAAAUUGUUGAAAGGGAAGCGCUUGCGACCAGACUCGGCCCCGGGGUUCAGCCAGCACUCGUGCUGGUGUACUUCCCCGGGGGCGGGCCAGCGUCGGUUUGGGCGGCCGGUCAAAGGCCCCAGGAAUGUGUCGCCCUCCGGGGCGUCUUAUAGCCUGGGGUGCAAUGCGGCCAGCCCGGACCGAGGAACGCGCUCG